rnacentral:ncRNA from 1 species
CUCUUAUCCCGAGCUGGUGGAGGGUCAGGCCCUAUGAAACCCGGCAACCUGCAAUAUACGUUGACGUAUAGCGUGUUGGUGCCAACCUGAUGCAAGGAUCUUCCUUGAACGAUAAGAG